rnacentral:rRNA from 1 species
UAGGGAAUAUUGGACAAUGGGCGAAAGCCUGAUCCAGCAACGACGCGUGCGCAAUGACGGCCUUCGGGUUGUAAAGCGCUUUUAGAGUAGAUGAGAAAGGACAGUAUCCUCUGAAUAAGCCUCGGCGAACUACGUGCCAGCAGCCGCGGUAACAAGUAGGAAGAUAGCGUUAUCCGGAUUUAUUGGGCGUAAAGCGCGUGCAGGCGGUCUGACAAGUUGGAUGUGAAAGCUCCUGGCUUAACUGGGAGAGGUCGUUCAAAACUGUUAGACUAGAGAAUGGGAGAGGGAGGUGGAUCUCCGGGUGUAGUGGUGAAAUGCGUAGAUAUCCGGAGGAACACCAGUGGCGAAAGCGGCCUCCUAGACCAUUUCUGACGCUAAGACGCGAAAGCUAGGGUAGCAAACG